UCCUACGGAUAAAUCACCUGGACCUUUCUUUGGCCCUGCGGACUGCGGACCCUGGACCUUUCUUUGGCACUGCGGACGUAGGACGUAGGACUGGAAGGAGCGAAGCAAAGAGCGCGAGACUAGAGAGGAGCCCUUAUAUUAUGAAAUUCAAUAACUCGACUCCAAACAAAAGGAGAGGUUCAAAGCUCAUUGAAUAAAGACUUAUUCUUCCAAUGUGAAGGAGUGCAUUAUGUGCAAAUGGUGUUUAUGAGUCCUCCGGACGACUCAAAACAUAAAGGAUCAAAGAAUGAAAGAAGAAUUUGAAAGCGAAAGUAAUUAUCCUUCAAAGGAGUGCAACGAAAGAAAUCCAUAUUAACAUUAGGCCGGUCGACUCAUAGGUUGAAAGAGUGGGUGGUGCUCCGUCUUUAUGAUUCGGCUUUUUAUGCCUCCGCUCAAGACUCACACUCCUUGGCGAACUGGAACGGAGUUGGAAAAGUCAAAAGCCUUUCUUUAUCUGUCCUCCGGACUAUCCAUAUUCAGGAGCGGAAUCAAGAAUAGACCCGUCAGUAUCCGGACCAUAAACUCAAACUAGAACUGAUCCAUGUGAAUUUCUGGGAUAGGCUUGAUUCUUUCAUUGCGUUUUCCCGGCUUUUUUGCUUCUAAAUAGGACUAAAUCAAAGAUUGAUAUUUAACGAAAAUUGUCGAAAAAAGAAGGAAUUUUCAUGAUUUCUUGCUACUUUAUAGGCCCAAAACCUAGCAAAAUCUUGUAUUUCCCUCCGCGGAUUCAUCUUCAAUCUAGCUCUGAAAUCUAGCAGAUUCAUAAUGAUUCUUUCAUUCUCGUUAUUCAAUCAGAAUUCUUCUUUCAUUAUCGUUAAUGAACUGAUUAAGAAGAAUCCACAAAUGUCUAAUCUUGAAGAGCGAAAUCAAUGUCUUCUUUUUCAUGACUGCCAUAUUCUUUUCAGCUCUCCUUAUCAGUCCGGAGGACUAUCCAUUAGAAGCGCCUAGCAUUUUCUGGGAUUGAACUCCCUCGAUCAAAGUAAUAGCUAUGAAUAGUCCAGAGGCUCAAAGAAGAUUUCGACGGAGCAAAGUUGGAUAUUAUUGGAAUAACUCCUAUCGGAGGGCUCAAGACGAGAAAAGAAUUAUCUCAAGAGAAGCUCGACAAGGGCAUGUCUCAUCACCCCAUUAAUAAAGUAGCGUCCACUAAGAAGAGAGGAGGUGCAGUUAUCAAUCUCAUCGCUUACCAACAUGUCUAAGCGGGACCAGGCCCACAAAGAAGAGAGUAGGAAUUCGUUGCUAGUAGGGAAAAUCUGAUCUUUUCUUAAGGGGACUCUACUAAGGAGGACUCUUUCCCGACCCCUAUUGUACUUGUACGAGCAGCUGCCGACCGAGUGAUGCUCCGAUUUCUCUUAUUGCUUGAGGCUAGGGUCUGGGUCUUUGAUCAGUCUGAUUCUGAAAUUCUGAAAUACUGGUAUACCCUCAUAACGAGUCAGAAUACCUAUCCAGAGUCAACUAAGUCAGAAAGGGCACGGUCUUCAGCCGACCCCACAUCAGGUUCAGGGGAAGGGGCUGUAUUGGUAUUCUCUCUUUCCGAGCGAGGAGUUGAGGACCUCAGAUGGAAUAAGAACAGGCCUUGUCAGAAUACCAGUUUCAUAGGCUUUCCAACCAUCGUGGAAAUCUUCGCUUUUGGAAUGAAGAUGGAUCCGGUCGAGGAAUUCGGUUCGGCAGUUGGACAGGAAGUUGCAGUCUUUGUGGUCCUCCCUUGAAUCUCUUGAAUCCGUACGAUUAAACUUGGGCACGCCGAGAAAGAUCGGAAGACCUUCGUUAUAUCUCAUUUAUGAUCAAAUAACUCAAUCAAAGAUUCCAGAUAGAAUCCCAUAAUCCCAUGAAAUAAGGAAAUAGGCCCUGUCUCAGUCCCGCUACGUGGGGGUUGGAUUCCUUCUUUCUUGGAAAGUCUGCUUAUCUUUCUUCUGAAUUCACUCUUUCAUGAUUGAUGAAAGGGGAUCCCAUUUACCGCACGUAAAAGAAAAUAGAGGCAAAUAACCUAGGCUUUCUCUUUCCGACUACAAUAUCCCUGUCUUAUGGCACCGCUCCGUGGUCCUCCGGCGCAAUGAAAUAUGCGACUUUGCGCCUUCGGACGGACGGAAGGAAAGAGCUACCUUUACCGCGUAGUGGGAUCAUUUCUGAAAGACUGCAAAGUCUUUUUCAAUGGAGCUUCAGUCUCUGAUUUAGUAGACGAGAGGUGGUUCACCCGAUAAAGGCACAGGGGACGAUCGGAACCCGUCGGCGAAGAACAAGAGUCAGGCAGUACUAUGAGCGUAAGAAGAAAAUGAGUGAAGGUUGGGAGUGGGUCUCAUGAAGUAGGGUUCAGAGUAUUCAAGAUCCCUUCUUCGGUAUCUUUCCUCAGAUCUACAGACCAAGGCCGUCGGCUAGGCCUUUCACGCGAUUAACUGGGAUAAACUUAGGCAUCUGAUUACAAGAAAAGGAUAAAGACAGAAAGAAGGACUGAUUUUAGCCUCAGAUCUCAUUAUCCAUCCCAUGGAUUCAACCCCGCAAACUGCAGGUCGAAAGGAAAGGGCCUUAUUGUACAUCUUUCACGCUCCAUCCCUCCUCCCGACCUUGUUUUCUUCUCGCGUGAGUCCGCCUUGUUUCACUAUUUCCUUUUGUACGAAGAGCUUUCUAGAAAGAUGUAAUUCAUUCACCUAGCCCUGUGCCUCCAAAGGCGGCCCACUACGCGGUUCAAAUCUCUCUUCCAAAGGCGGAUGAGGCAGCAAGAAGUACUUCAAAGAACAGAUCUUUCUACUUCUCCAGCACCUCACCUCUCCAAAGAAAGCGAUUCACACCUUUCCCACUCGGAUCGGAAUCCACCAUUAGCGCGGUUCGGGGGACGGGGCGGUGGGUACAGGCCAUGAGCAGUCCCAAUAUUCCUUCCUGAGCCUCCGGACCUUAGCCUUAUUCAUUCGGCUUCGUAUGAUCUCUUUCCCGAGUUGACUCGGAAUCAGAAUCGAAUUCCCAGUGGUGCUCAGCGAGCUAUUGAACUAACUAUUCCCAAUGAGAAUAUCUUGAAAGAAAGAAUAUCAGAAAGAUUCCCCGAAACCACAAUAAAUCAAUAUCGUCAAAUCGAGUAAGAAAACAGGACAUUACACCCAGCCUCCAGCUUCUUAUCUGACUUUUCUUUUGAGUCUUCUGCCUCCGAUAUUAAUGUUUGUAAUAGUCUUUGUUCAUUGAUUGCGCGUAGAAGGAGUUGUCUUUCUUUGACAUAGUUUUUGACUAUCAGAAAAUUGAAUGAUUAUAAGAGUCUUUUAAAAAGGCUACGGACAGCUGGACACUCUUUUCAUUCCUUUCUAAUGUUUUGAAUCUAAAUAAUGAAAUUGCCGAUUGUAAUCUUUUUAAUAGUCUAUCUAAAUCCUAAAAUAGGUUGCUUAAAGCUGCAGACUUCGGACCAUCUUGAUUCUUCACUCUAUAAAAUGCGUAGGACGAACUCCUCUUUCGGAGUUUAUUCCUUUAAGUAGUCUCUUCUUUUAAUGCUUCGCCCCUCUCUAUCUCUGCGGACGAGGAUUGCAGAACAAGGCGCGAUAUCAAGAGGAUGAAUUCUAUCCGAAGAGCCGGAGUCAAGCAUGAACAAGGUCCCUCGGGACAGGAGGUUCAAAGAAGAUUUCAUUGUCUUUCCGUCGGCCUGAGUUAGGAGCAAAGAAUAUGGAUCAGACUAUUAAGGAGCGCAAAUCGACUCCUACGCCUAUCUUAAUGAUGACGAAAGACUAUCCAAAACAAAUGUAUGGCAACUCAUAUUGCAUUCAGCCUCCGGACUCCUACGCGGCAACUAACCUACGGCAAGGCGCGGAGCGAAGCGCAUUUAGAAGAGAAAACGAGUCAAGAGGACGGAGCGCAACUCAUAUUGCAUUCAGCCUAGUCCUACGCGGCUGGAUCGAAAGGUUGAGUAAAGCUCAAGCUAGAACGUAGAUAGGCUAUGGAUCGAAGCAGCCAGCGGCCGGGCCGAGUCUCAUGAAGAAGAUUGAGUAUGAGUACGAUAUUCUUUCUUAUGCUAAUUCUGAAAUAAGGGAGAGAUGUCCAAUAAUCUCCGUUGAUCGAGAACGAGAACCAUAUAUGCGCCUCCUAUGAGGCUCCCAGUACGCCGCCUUCCCAGUAUCGUAGGCAGACGAGAGGGCUCCCCGUUUAGGAUGCUACAGAAGUCAAAAGAGGAGAUGACGAGGUAAGCAGUCGCAGUUCAACUUGCCGAAGUUCUUGUCCCCCCAGUAGUGCCUGGUGUUGACGCUGUCGUGGCUUAGUUUAACCCGCUAAGAUCUUCAUGCCUUCGGUACUCCCAUACCGUAAGUGGCUUUAUUUAUCACCAAGUCGAGAUUCAUACUAUACAGAAAAUGGAGAUUCAAGGGAUGAUGGUCCAACUCGCCUCUCUCCAAAGCCCUUUCACCCUAGCUUUUAUCAUUCCUUUUUAGUUAUCUCUCAGAGAUGUUCACUCUUAAAUAGCAGAAAUAGCGGACAAACUGAUCUUGCUGUCUCGCGCAGGAUCUUCCUAUUCUUAGAGUACGGAUUCAAGCGAUCUAGCUACAGAGUAUGAGACUGAUUCCUCUAGCUUCUCCUGUCAAGCAGAAAGAACUCGGGCGAGCUGACUCAUACGAAGAAGAUCAAAGCCUUUCCGCGGAUGACGCCUCUUUACGAGCCGCGCUUCUAUACUUUCUAGUCUUUCAGUUAGAUCGAGCCUGCCGUCCAAGAGGUUCAAAGAAUAUUGACAUAUUUCAUGAAUCAAAAUCAGGCAAUGGAAGGUGCAAAGAAUAUUGCGAAGACCGCUCCAACUAACCUCUGCGGUCAGUCCUUCGGACCUGUCUUAUGGCACCUACGCAGCUUAAUAUGUGAGCGGUAAAAAGGACCUCGGGUCCAGGUGACCGGUCGAGUCAAUGAACAAGGUUCAAAGAAUAUUGAAUGAGACUGGAAAGGCUAGGUUAGAUGAUCCCCAGGACGAGAAUCAAGCUCAAGCAAUAAGUAUUCUCAGUUCCAGGUGUGAGACCUAGAAAACUCGGUCCUAGUUUACUCGGUUGAAUCAGUCAAAGUAUUUCAGAAGUUGAAUGAGAAUCAAGACAAAGCUCGAAAAGUCAAUAUAUCGUUGACGAGUGGGUUGGGGUAUUCAAUAUACUGAGUUGGCUAGGAGAGGGGAAUGAUAGAUUGAGCGAGACCAUUCGCUAGGGAAGACUGAAUUGAAUUCAGCCUUCGUCCGCAAUAAGAAGGCGGAGGCUGGGUCGGCCCACUACGCGGUUGAGUACGAAGGGGAAUUCCCUGCAGAGGUUUCGGAUCUUGGAAUCAGUACGAAGUCUCACCUCUAACUCUUAUCUUGAGAAGGAAAAGGGAGCGGUUAGAAUAGAAUAUAAAGACUGAUAAGGAAGGAGAGAAGACCGGCGGAUCUCUUUCUCUCUUUAGUAAUAGAAUCAAGGAGAAUGAAAAGUCUGAUUUCUCAUUAAUUCUCUUCUCUCUUUCCCGAGUUCUUGAAUGAGAAAGAUCAAGAGUCAUGAGAGUUGUCCGAGCUCCUCUCCCGGAUUGAGUUGCGGACAGGUAACUGAAAUAGAAAUAAGUACUAGCCUCCAGCGCUCACUAGAAAGUAGGGUUCAGAGCGAAGUGACCAUAUCGGUGAGGGCAUUGUCUAAAGUGCUCUUUCAUAUCAUAAGAGUACGAAAAGAAAGGAUCGGGAGAGAGAGAGGUGCCAGGUUCGGUUAAUUACGGAAAGUCCUCCUUCCAUAUGGAUAGUCCUCCGUUUUAGAGUCCUUCCUUCCAUAUGGAUGGUCCUACUUCGGUUAAUUACGGAUGGUCCUACGGAUAAAUCCUGCGGACUCCGGACCCUGGACCUUUGUUUGAUGGAUAAAUACAGGAUCAAGUGCUUUCACCGCUACGCUUCUGCUACUCCGAAAGAAAGGCUCCAGUCCGGAGGACAGGUCCGAAGGCUAGGUUCAUACGGAUAGUCCUCCGGACGGGGGAACCGUAGGCGCAAAGAAUAUUGCGGCUCUUUCCGCUCUCUUUCAUGUUCGGAUAAAUAAAUAGAGGGUAGUUGGUAGUUUACGGCUGUCCGCUACGCUGGAGCUACGGAGAAAGAAAGGAUAAAUAGAAAGUUUCCGCUCCUUCUAGUGGACCUUUAGAGUCCUUCGGACGUCCUCCGGACUAUCCAUAUUAACCUUUGGUCCAGGCGCAGGCGCAAAGAAAGAAGCUCAUUAACGAGAAUGAAAGCAGAAUGAACUCAUUAACGAGAAUGAAAGGCGGUGCUGUAGGCGCUGCAUCCCAAACCUGAAGGCGCACGUUGGCAGGGAAGAUGAGCUACGCAUUGAGAUAGUUUUUCCAAUCGAGCUCAGUACCGUAAAGCCUAGAUUCCCGGAGGGGGCGGACUUAUUGAAAAAGGGGGAAUGAGAGGGAUAUGCUAGUUUUUAUAGGGGGGUAGUGGUCCCUAUAACUGAGCAGUCCCUCAAGCCGAAGACGAUACCUAUAUCCAUACCGCGGAAAACAAGACAUCAGCAGGGGUAGGGUCCAUAGAACAGCCGUCAUGGCUGGAGGUGCCCGACGCCUCUUGGUUUGGAGGGGCUGAGGCCUCUGGGAUCCUCGUCACAAUUUCAAGGACAAUUACAGGAUAACCUGUAGAGAACAGAAAGAAUGAACUUGCGUGCUUCAGAUAGACAGAAGCAAUGACUUCUCCGGCCCCCAUUCGGAGGGGUCUCCGCUGAAGAACAAUGCCAGCGGGGGCCUUUAUGAUGACGGGCUUCUUUCUCUUUCUGAUCUUAUAUUUCGGAGUCGACAUUCUGGCAACUACUUCUGUGAUGUUCCUUCCAUGGAGGAAUUAGAGGUAGCUCUUCGUUCCCUACGGGAGUUUCUGACUGACUGAUUUCUUAUAGUAUAGGGACUCCUGAGGCUGAAGAACCAUUCCAGCGGGGGCCUUUGGGACUAUGAGGCUGAAGAACCAUUCCAGCGGGGGCCCUUAGGACUAUGAUUGAUCUUCGAUUUCGAUUUCUUUAUGAUCGGACGGGGAUAGUAGAUACUGCUAGUGGGACUACCCUCCGGUGCUUUCGGGCAUCGGUCCGGUAGUCAUCCACACGCGCGCAAGGGAGUUCUUUUCCUAUAUCAUACCUUGUUUUCAGUGGGAGGUUCAAAGAAUAUUGACGAGGGGAUUUACUCGCCGUGGAGUGGAUAGGGGCGUGGGGAAAGGAGAGGGAAAGUCUCGAUAAUUAGGUUAGAGGUCGGGGCAUUCAGGCAUCAUUCGGUCAUUGUUCGGAGAGGGGGGGGGACGGUCUAGAGUAAUUGAGUCUUCCACUAAAGGGUAAAGAGCUACAUCCCAAUCCAGAAAGGGGAAAGUCAAGAGUUCCUUGGUUCCAUCCCAAUCCCCAGAGAAAGGGGAAAGAGUUACCUCUGGGAUUCAUGGAUUCAUGGAUGAAGGGGGAAAGGGGAAACCCGGUCCAUCAAAGGGAAAGAGUGGACUCUCUUGAUCCGAUCCAAUGUGCCUGCCUUCUCAUCUCAAUCUCAAGCCGGAAAAGAAAGAACAAGGAAAGGGUCUCUCUUCGGCCGGGCCGCGUGCGGGCCGCCCUUCCACGUCCACUUCUCAUGCCACAGGUACAGGGACGGACGGACCGGAGGGAGAUUCCAGUGACCCAGGUGACCUUCACCGGCUGCUAUACUAAGUUGACUGAGGCUCCGAGGCUCUCACUCCGACUUCCUAAUCAUCCCAUCCUAUUUCAGAAUGAACUCUCCCGACGAACCGCACUCAGAUGGGGCGGCUACUUCUUCUUCCUAAACUGGUGCUACUUCCUAAACAAGGGAAAGAGCCUACUAAACAGUGGCUGGCUGGCGGCUUCCCUCCCUAUGACCCGUGUGGGCGGCCUUCCUUCCUAAACUGCCUUCCUUCCUAAACCCUAAACAGUGGAUAGAGCAUUCCCUCCUAAACAGUAGUCGGAUCGAGAUGGAUGCUCCCGCCGGGAGCCUCUUCCCUCUGACCCGUGGGAUUGACCUGACUUGACUUCCCCUUCUUCCCCUUCUCGUUCUUCCUCUCUUUUCUUUUGGGAGUUUGUCCCGCGUGCACGAGCCCUUUUCUGGGACUUUUUCCAGAGCAUGAUUGGAGGAGCGGAGCUUCUUUCCUUAUUUUCGUUUUCAUCCCUCUAUCUCCUUCAAAGAAAGAUCUUCGUAGAACCUUUUCGAUUCCCUAUUCCGGACUCCUAAAAGACUCAAGAUUCCGAGGAAGAACUAAUCAGGAAGAUAGGAAGAAGAACUCAAAGAGCAGCUCAUGAAAGAGAGAGAGUUGGAUUCAGCCUAUCCCUGGGACAGGGGCGGCUAUCUUGUGCGUGCACUGGAGACCCAAGACCAAGAGGUUGGAAUUUCUUCCUUAUUAGCGGAUUUGAGCUAUCGGGAACUAUACCGCGUAGUGAGGAGGUGACUCGACCCUGUAUGGCUAGCAUUCUCAAGGGGUAGAUCAGCGGGAACCCAACCCCUACUUUCUUGAUCAGGGAGUCUCCAAACCAAAAGGGGAUUCAUUCUGCCUUCCCGAAAUCUUCUUAUUUGACUGCUUGGAUACGAUUUGCCAUCACUCCUGAAACCCAUGAAAAGUGCAGUCUAAUCAAUAUAGAAAGAAUUCUCGCAAUAUUCUUUGCGCCUUCUACGCUCUCCAUGGGCUCGCUUUCUUUGGAUGGACGGAGGAUCAAAGAAAGCCAGAUUGACUGGUCCGAAGGACUAUCCAUCAGGGAGGAGUGGAAGACAGAGCGGGAAGAAUGGAUAUUGUAGACCGCGGGAGGGGGAUGAAAAAGAAAGCUAUGCGAGAGUAGGUAGGGUCGGGAAUGAGCUAUGAGGCAAAUAGCCUCUAACCUACUAACAAGAAAAGCAAGUUCAAAUAAAUGAAAUGGGCCGGACUCAGAAAUCCAUAUUAAUCUGUGGUUUUAGUGGAAUUCAUGAGUUUCGGAGGUUCCGGAGGCCGUCGGACCAAAGAAAAAGAAAGAAUGUCUCAAUAUCCUUUGAGCCUCCGGAGGAGCAAGGAAUAGUAAGGACUUUAUCAAGCUUAACUUCUUUCAACUUCUUUCUUUCUUUGCGCCUUGCUUUCGUUUCAACUGAAAGGCUCCAUUGAUGGGGUACGAGAACAGAAUGAAAGAAAACCGCUCUAGCGGACACUGCAACGGAUAAGGAAAGAGGGACAGCUACCUGAUCUCAUAUUCAACCCUUCUUCAAUCUCAAACUAGGGAAAUCGGCUUAGCUGCCUAUAGGCAUGCUUCUCUCUCCUCGUCAGUCUCAACUUCUUAGUCGUUCACUCUACGGUCUCGUUCUAUCCGCGAUCCUCCUUAUUCUGAAGAGAAAGCUGCAUUCGUAUCUAUUACAAUAGAAUAUAGAAUAAUGUCUUUACUGGAACAAGAACAACCAGGAGGAGUGACUCAUGAAAGAAGACUGAUCAGAAUUCCCGAUCGAACAAGAGAUGACGCAUCUGACAGUCGAGCCUAUCGGAGAAAGGAUGGUGCAUCGCCUAUUUCUCGUUCUCGCUCUCCUAUUCGGCAACUUAUGACUGAAACUUCUGUGAGUCCGCCUCUUUCUUUUCAUUCUGAUUGACGAAAUGGCACAACGGAUCCUGAUACGGGGAAACUUCCUUCUUCCGAUUGAAAGAGAGAGCUUCCUGGGCUGGGCUUUUGACUUCGCCCUCCUGCUGAGACCCUUCAUGCCAGUAUAUAUCUUGCACCUCCGCCCCAAGGAAAGGGGUCUUUGACCACCCGAGGUUGUGGCAUCCGCUCUUUUGUCGAAGUGGCAGCAGAAGUUCAAGGUUUAGCUGCAGCUUUAGUAGAUCGCCUCAUCGCCUAACUCUGCAUUCUUUGACUUUGUGACACCACUCUUUUCUUUCUAAGAGGUGGAAUAGGUUCUUUGAAAGAAUAAAGCUCCAGAUGAGGCGCAAUGAAAUAUGCGAGGUCGCAAGUCAAAUUCUCUAAUGGAUAGGCCUUGCGACGGAGCAGACCGCUUUCAUGAAAUAUUCUUUGAACCCGCGGGAGAAGAUUCAUUAAUAGAAGGGUAGGCUCGUGGCUGGGGAAAAUAGGAUGAAUGAAAUAUGAGAGAGUGAGGGUCAAUAUUGACCUUUGGAGAAGUUGAGGAAUGCAUUCUCAGUUAUAGGGCUCGAACAGAGGGACGAAUCGCCCAUUCCCUAACUUCUUUUCCGUAGGUUGUCCAAGAUUCAAUCAAAGGAGAGAGAGAGUUUACUUAGUGAGGUUGAGGGACACGCGUCUCAAGCCAUAGAUCACCCGUGUGAAGAGGGAGAGUAAUCAGCCUCAGCUUGCGAAUAGGAUGAAUUAGGCGCUGGACGCUGAAGGGCGCUGUUCUUGAAACCUUUCUGUCUUUUUAGCCCACGGUUUUUUUGACUUGACUAUUAUUUACUCUGCGGUUGGGUUGAGAAAUUGAGUAUAUGAGUGAAUAGACUUUGAGUCUGAGAUCGAUCGUAUGUAUCGCGCGUCAUCGUCUCACGCCUGAAUCCGGGGAUGAAUGAAAAUAGAGUUCAAGGUCAAAAUGCCAUAAGGCAAAUUGCUCAAGGGGAACUGAAACUUGAUUAUUCCUCUUCGAGUCUAGGCUUUCUUUUAGGAGCCUCUAAAUAGUAGGAAAGUUCAGUCAGGAGACCUCGGUGUGAGCCACUUUAGAAGUUGGAUAGAAUCUGAAAAAAGAAGGAAGAACCGAAAGCGAAGCGACUGAUCGAUGAACAUCCAUAAAUAAAUAGGCAGAAUUUGAGAAGCGAAGGUUCAGCUUCAUUCAGACGACCUAUCCUCGAUUAGGAGGUUCAAAGAAUUUGAGAAGAAUUUGAGGACUCCCAAAGAGAACUCCCCAAGACCAGCAUUCUUGGAUCUCUCAUAAGGCCCACGUAGCGGGAAAGGCGCCUCAAUCCAAUCACUCUAUGGAGGCAAGCACGCUGCGAGAGCCAAGCCAGUCUCCCCUUUCAUUUCUUGCUCCAGGAAUGCUCGAAAGGGAAGUUGCCGAUCUUCCUCCUCUUUCUUCAGUUCUAGGUCUUGUAGCCCACUCUGCGGUCGUUCUACCAGUGCUGCUUGCCCUUUCAGUUCUUCUUUCUGUGUCGGAUGCCUCAUCUCUUGACCAAGGCCCCUAAUAACGAGAUUGACUGGUCAGUUAGAUACUCCUUUCUAUAAUAGACUUCUUCCACCUUCCCCUUAUUCAUUGAUUCGUUAACGAAGGCAAAAGGCUCGACUAAAGCAGAAUCCGUACCAGGGAAGUCCCAUCCGAUUAGUGGAAUCGGGAUCAGUUCUUCGUGAGAUCGUCGUAGGCCUUCUCUAUUUCUCUUUUCACCCAAGCAGAAUGACCGAGGGUAGCAGCAGCUGAGUGAACACGAGGCCAUUCUACGGAGAGAAUGAGAAUUCCUUCUUUGGUCCUGGAUUCUUCUUUCUCUAUUUCCCGUAAGACCAAAAUGCAAUGAAUAGAAAGGUUAAUAUGGAUAUAAGUUAAGCUUGUAGAUUUCAGACUCCUGAGGACGGGUCUCAUCACCCCAUUAAAAGUCCACUAAUAUUAACUUCCUUUUUCUCUCAACAAUAUCCCGCACCUCGUUUUUGGAAAAUAUGAUUCAUACUUGCACUCAUUCCGAUAAUUCUUUGAGCCCUCCCCCAGUGCAAAGAAUAUUGCGAAGACCGCUCCGAAGGAGUCUUAUGAAACCUGGACCCUUCUUUUUAAAGAAGAAGGACUAUCCAUUAGAAGGGCCUCAGUCCUAUCCAUAUUAACCUAGCAUCUGGACCCCUUAUAAUUGGGCCACGAUCUUUGCGCCUCCUUCGGAGUGAUCCUUUCGCUCAAUAUCCUUUGAGCCUAACGUCUGCAAUCAGUCUUUAAUAGAAUUAUGACUUCGCAAUAUUCUUUGCGGAAGAUUUUCUCUCCGCAAUAUUCCCUAAUGGAUAGUCCUUCGGACCUGUCUCGCAAUAUCCUUUGCGCCUCGCAAUAUGCGCCUCUUUUAUCCAAAAUAUUAGUUCCAUUAACAAGUCAUCUAGCCCUUUGUUUUUGGGGUAGAGUCCUUCGCUCUUUAGUUCCCGCAAUAUUCUCCUUCUACGCGGUUCAAAGAAGAUUUCAGUCCGGAGGCUCCAUAAGACAGGGAUAUUGUAAGGACAUUCUUUCUUUUUGAAAAAGAAGAGAAAAGAACUCCGUAGGAGCGGUCCAAAAUAGAAGUCCUUAUCUCUCUAGUAAUGCUGAAGUUUCUUCCUUUACCGCGGAGUGGGCUUCCUUUAAUUUAAGUAGGUUUCUUUGACCCGACCUCUUCUUUUGAAGCCUUUUGACUACCGGUACCGGCAUUUUACUCUCAGGAGGUUUUGCCAGGGUUUGACUCGAGCUAGAUUCCGAUCCUAAACCUCUCCUUAUUUCAUUCCUCUCCUCAAGCGAGUCGAGCUACUUUCUUUCUAAAAAAGAGCUACUUUAUGCAUUAUUCAUUCGGUCGCUACUUCUGACUCCGGUACUCCGGUCGAGCCACUUCGCCCCGAUACUCUACUCUGACUCUACCCUAUUGAACCGAAGGAGUUGGUUGGAGAUCCGCACCCUCCAUUUCGACUAUCUUACCUAUAGUUCAAACCGCCUCAAUGAACAAGGGGGAAUUUCUUAUGAGAACUGGAAGUCUCGUCAAUAUUCUUUGAACCUUCGUCUCGUCUUGCAUUUCAACCUCUUCUUAUGAGAAGACGGUCACGCUCUUUCGAUCUUCUGGUAGUCUAUAUUGAAUAACCUAUGAGCCGCAUCUUAUCUUAGCAGCUAACCCACGGAGCGGUAUCUCGGGCCUAGCUUAAUAAUAGGAAUCACUCAUAUUGCAUUGAGCCUAAUUAUAAGGGGUCCAGGUGACUAUCCAUUAGAACUUUGAACCUUCGGACCGGUCUAAUUCCGAAAGAUCUAAAUCAGGUCUAUCUCAGUAACCCUUCAGCCUCAGCACAACUAAGCAAGAAGAACAAGCGGGAACAAGGACGGCAACCUCAACAGCGGGCGGAGCCGCAACCCGACCCGGGACAAGAUCUGAGGCUAGAUCUACCUCGUAACCCCUUCCGAUUCCUUCUUCUUUGAGUUGACUGAGAAUACCGCUUUGAAAGCCACGGAUCUAGUAGCGGGACUGAUUCCAUUCCCUUGCAUACGUCUUCCUCUUGUUGGACAGCUACUUUCUUCCUGGGCGCCUACUAAGAUCAGGUUGAAUCAGAGCCCAUAAUAUAAGGAUAGGAGGUAAAGGAAGAAAGAGAAAGCAAUCGCCGACCGCUCCGAAGGAGUCUUACCAGUCCUGAUCCUGAAAUUUGAAUAACCCGCACCUGCCUCAAAUUCUCAAUAUGAAAAUAGUGGACUUGAAUGGGGUGAUGAGACCCUUCCCUUCGGACGGAGUGAAAAGAAAGUGAAAUAUUCUUUCGAUCAUUCUUUGAGCGAGCUAUAGAAGGCGCAAUGCAAUUAUAAGGGAUCCAGAUGAGGAGCAAAGAUCAUUGAUAAGGAAGAUUAGAAGCAAAAGUUCGGUUCUUCAUCCUGCUCAGAUUUUCGGUGAAUCUUUGCUACGUGGGAACUAGAACCGCGGAAGAAAAACAAGGGUCUAUAUGAACUAUCCGUCCGAAGGCGCAAAGAAUAUUGCGGAGUAAAUAGUGGUCCUCCGGACUACAGGUUAAUAUGGAAAGUCCUUGCACUCCUUUCUUCUUUUCUUAGAUAAAUGCGCUUCGUAGAUUAUGCUGAAGGAGGAGGACCCAUCAAAAGUGAAUAUGGUAGAUUUCAGAGUCCCGCAACAAGAGUAAUUUAGUUGGACUUCUUCAUCUCAAAUACUUUGAGCCUUUGUUUUCUAAGUCAAAGAUGGAACUAGAAGAAUAUUGACGAAUGUUCAAAGUCCGGAGGACCUCUUUGAUCCACUAAGUCAAAGGAUGAAAGUCUAAAAAGAAGAAAAGAGAACUACUCCGCGGAGGUCCGGAGGACUCAUUCAUUCCACUCAAACUUAUGGCCUACGUAGUCGUCCUACGUAGCUUAAUAUACUUCCGACUAUCCGAUGAUGAAAGUGGAAUAAAGAAAGCCUAUCCAACAACAAGAAACUUCAGGAUUCAAGGAAGAUAGGCUUGAUGAUAAAUAGUAGAAUAAGAGGAUAUAAGAAGGUUCAAGGCAUAGGAAGAAGAAGAAGAAAGCCCACCUUCCAAUUAGUGGGCUUACUAGUAAUGCUGAAGUUUCCGCGGAGCUUCUUUGCGGAGCCAUAGGCUAAUAGUCCUUUUUUUAGGUUCUGGAUAGGCUUUCGUAUUUAUUUUAGGCUAAGAUGAUCAUUCUUCAUUCUUCGACAUGACUUCGGAAACAGAAAAACAAAAGAAAGGGCCAAAAGUUACUAAAUUUCAGAUUCUCGUAUUACUGAUGAAGAAAUGUCUAUAUUCUCCAUUAUAUACUCUAUUCUGAUAGUUUGAAGCUAGUUCCGAGAUCUUCUUGUUCUCAAGAGGUUUGUACUAACCAUACGUUUACCAGCCUUAAUAAAGUAAAGGCUUCUUGGGGCCUUCGAAAGAUGAGAACUCAAAGAUCGAGAUAGAAAGCUUAAAGAACUACCAUGAUAGCUUGAACUUUCUGUCUUCCUUCUUCUUCGACAAAGCUUUUUGAUACUCUGCCUAUCCCAGAAAUAUGAAGGAUGCCUUGCUUCGCGGGCGCCUAUAUAAGGGCCACUCGGGGCCUCGCUCUAUUGGGCGCUGGGUUUUCGAAUCAAAACCUUCUGAGAGAUAGACAAAGCUUAAACUACCGAUAUUAUGACUCUGACUUCGUUAUAUCGAUGAGAAUGAGUUCCGCUCUUCGAGCCCUCAUCUUCCGCCUUUGUUUUUCUUCUAUCUCGUUCGUAAACUUCUUUAUUUCACGACUCAAUGUAAUUGUAAUUGAUCCGAUCUCCUAGGAGAAAGUUCAGUCAGGUUUAAGAAGAGGAAGGAAUAAUAGUAUUCAUGUUUUCAUAGAAAGGAAUAAAAGGUCAAUGGAAGUCCUCCUCCGGAGCCUACUACGUCCUUACUAAUAAUGCUGAAGGUUCCUCCGGACGGGAAAGUUACCCCUUGUUCAUUGAGGCCCAGUCCGAAUGGAAGAAAAAGUCAAAAGUCUAUCCGCUACUUUCAUCCGUCCGAAGUCCUCCGGACUAUCCAUUAGGUCCAUUGAAUUUAGCGGUCGGACGGGUCACCUGGACCCUUGUUUAUCCACAGGUUAAUAUGGAUAGUCCUCCGGACGGACCAAAAAAUACAUCAAAAUAGAAGUUGCGCUUUCUUCUUAGUAGGUUUAAAGUGCAAGCGGUGUCAAAUCAAAUCAUCAUACUAUUUGACUCUCUUUCACAGAUAUUCUUCUUUACAGGUACAAUCAAUACAUUAUAGGUAAUAGCUUUCUCUCUUUUUCUACUACGGUCGAGCAGCGGAUGCGAGUCAAAUCAAAUGAGAAGGCGAAGAUUAGAGCUCAAUUACGGAUAACCUCUUCCGAGACGGAAACUCUGAUUGCACUUGUUUUCAUUUCUUUGACGGGGGAGCCUCUGUUUUGACUCAUGAAGUGACUCAAGCGGACCUCUCAGAAAACCGUACUUUUGUUUUCGCGCUUUAGGGGCUAGUCCCAUUCUGAUCAUACUCACACGGAUUCUUGCACGGGGCCGAGUGUUGGGGACUUUGUCGUCUACGAGCGGGUAUUCUAUCUAGGUCUCGCUAUUUCAUCCAUUCCUUCUCGUUCGUAACCUAGGAGUGGGUCUCGCUUUUGAUCUCGACUUCGUGAACUACGUCUCCUCAAUUACGCCUAGCCUUCUCGUGAGAACAAUUACAGACUCAUUAAGUGAGAAUGAAAAUCAAAGAAGAAUAGGAAUAGUUUGAAACUGAAUCAAAACCUACUGAAAGAUCGAAUGAGCACUGUGAAAGUAUGACUCUUGCUUCUUUUUGCAGUCUUUCUUCGGAGUGAUAGUACUUUGGUAGAUAGAAAAUGGAAAGUCUAACUUGAAGCUCUUCUUCUUUCCUUUCCUCUGCCAGACGUUUACCAGCCGACUACAAGGCUCUUCCCUACACGAGAUGAAGAACAAGUCAGCAGAAAGAGCUAGAACUACCAGUUCAGAACUGAUGAUUUUUCUCAAUGAAAUAGAUCAUGAAACUGCUCUUUUUGAGUCCUCCUUUGGACUUCUCCUUUCUCGUCUUAUUCCUUGCCGCUCCUCCGCAAUAUUCUUUGCACCUCUCUCGUCUUCUUCCGUCCUUUUGAUAGGCUUUCCUGAAAUGACUGAACUUUCUAUUCAUGUUCCUGCUUUAUCCCCCCUAUCUUUUAUGGCGGUUCCACUUUCUAUUUGGCUUAGGAGAAUCCUUGAUCCGGCUAGCGAGAUGGGAUGAUUGACCUUCUGAUGUCCCCUGUUGCAGGAGUCUAAGCAGGAGAAUGAAGAUCUUGCCGCUUUUGAGACAGGCUCGGGUCAGAGGUCAGAACAAGAGGAAGAGACCGCUCAUACGAGUCUGAGGCAGGCAGCUAAAUCCCACCAGCGGCUGAUUUCUUCAUUUUCUCUCUCUAUCUUGCAGGGACUAGGGAAGAAUCUAAGGCUCUUUAUCAUUUGAUUGAGACUAAAGGGGUCGGCAGAUGAGAUGCCCUUGUUCAUUGAGGCGGUUAUGGAGGAAGUUGCAGUUGGUCUUGCAACUAGAUCGAUCGCUCGGUAAGCACCGCGUAGGAAAGGCCAAGGAAAGACGAAAGGAGCCCUUGGGAAAGGAAAGUUGGAGUCAAACCGCUCUAGGAGAGAAAGUCAGUCGCAGAGGUUGUGCCAUCCUCUUGUUCUUCGCUCUAGUUCUUCUUGUUGAAGCUUUCCUUUCAGACUCUUCGCCUCGUCCGUUGUAUGCUCUUGCAACUGGAUUGAUUUAGUAGACAUUGGCCAGAGUUUUUCUCUGGGGAAGGCAUGGGAAAGAAAAUCAGUGUCUCCUCUGGUUAUAGAACCUUCGAUCAAUCAACAAAAUAAAAGGAAGCAGAUGAGGUCUUGCGUCUUUUCCCAAAGUCAUUAAUCAAAAAAGCAGAUCGAAUCUUUAUACAAAUUGAAUACAAAUUUGAGACUCUUCUUCAUGAUACUCAACCCCCAAAAAGUGAUUCGCCGACUUUAGCUCGCCUAAGCCUGGUUAAUAGAGCAUUGUCGGCGAAUCCGUACUUCUACUCCUUUUUUCAAGAUUGAACUAGGAAAGAAAGAACAAGUCUGUGUUAAGCUUAAGCAGGAGGUGCAAAGAAUAUUUCGUGGAAGAGGAAGGAAAGAAAGAAAGGUAUACAUUACAAGAAGAGAGAAGAGGAAGGAAAGCCUACUUAAACCUACUAUCAAUGAACCGCAAUAUUCUUUGCGCCUCCCAGUCUCCUAAUGGAUAGUCCUACUUCGGUUAAUUACGGAUGGUCCUACGGAUAAAUCCUCCGGACUCCUUCCCUCCAUAUGGAUGGUCCUACGGAUAAAUCCUCCGGACUCCGGAUAAAUCCUGCGGACUGCGGACUCCGGACGUAGGACCUGUCUUUAUCAGGAGCGUAGCGAACAGCCGUCAACUACUUGAUAGUUAUCCUAUCUUUCUCCUACGCGGAAUCCAGAAUAGACCUCUCUUUCUCCGGAAAAGAAACUCAAACAAGAAUCAAACUAUGUGAAUUUCUUAUCCCUUUCCUAGGAGUUCUUCUUUCAUUGCGUUUUCCCGGCUUUUUUGCUUCUAAAUAGGACUUUUUCUCAUAUUUCUAUUUCACGAAAAUAGAUCAAAAAUGACUGAUUUUUCAUGAUUUCUUUCUACUAUUUCUUUUCAGCUCUCCUUAUCAGUCGAGCCCAAAACCUAGCAUUUCCCUCCGCGGAUUCAUCUGAAAUCUAGCAGAUUCAUAAUGAUUCUUUCAUUCGAGUUAUGAAAUCAUAAUGAUUCUUUCAUUAUCGUUAAUGAGCUUCUUUCAUUAUCGUUAAUGAGCUUCUUUCAUUAUCGUUAAUGAGCUUCUUUCAUUAUCGUUAAUGAGUGAAUUCUGCUUUUCUUGACUUUUGUGCCAGUCCGAAGGACUAUCCAUAUUCUAUUCUUUGCGCAUCUGCGUCCUUCUUUUUCGCAACGCAUAUUGAAUUGCGCCUUUUAUCUCUUUCUUCUUAAUAGACCAAAUCGAUGAAAUAGACCAAAUCGAUGAAAAGAAGGAGAAUUUGUCGGAAAUGGCCGGGAUAGCUCAGUUGGUAGAGCAGAGGACUGAAAAUCCUCGUGUCACCAGUUCAAAUCUGGUUUUCUCGGCACAUCAUGAAUUUGUAUGAGUAUCUAUUCUACGGAUUCAUUAAUAAUAUAGAUCAUUCAAGGAUACAUCAUCUUUGACCCUCAAGACUCAACAAUAUCCCCCAACUACGUUGCCUCAGUCGCAGCAAACAAAAAGAAAGCGGAAAUCCCCUAAUGGAUAGUCCUUCGGACCUGUCUUAUGGCGCCUGAUUUUUCUUCUUCGGGCCUUCGUAGCUUAAUAAUGCCCACGGAGCGGGAGGGGUCACUUAUCGGUAUUUCUACUCCAAAUAAAGGAUAGUAUUUCAGGCAGGGAUUCGUCAGAAUCCGCUCAUAGUCGGCCGAAAAUGCAAGCACAUAAAAGAAAGCGGAAAUCUGAGCAAUAUUCUUAGCGCCUUGUCCAAGUCCUCUAAGUUGGAGUAGAACCUUAAGGCCAUUACGCGCUUCCCCCAGGGCCUUUCGUCGGUGGUGAAGGUAGAUGGAAUACGGUUGCCCAUCAAUGGGAACAUUCGCCUUUUUUAGAAAAGUCCGUUCAUACUUCCCAUCCAACCUGCACUCCUGCCCAUCCAGUAGGGUUAGUAGGGUCUAGCUCCCCAACUUCAGAAUCGUAUUGGUUCUGGUUCUUGUCCUCCAUUCACUCAUCGAGGACCCAGAGGUCAAAGUAGUCAUGGGCUCCAGAGUAGUCGUUCCUCCUUUGUCCCUAGGCUUGAUCUUCUUCUUGCCUCAAACCCCCCUUUUUCAACAGACUCAUUAGAAGCGUCUUUUGUGUACUCGGGGGGCCGUAGACAAAGAGCUGUCUGCUUUUUAUGGGCCGCUCGAAGACAAGGUUGGUUGCGAUCCAAUCCAGCAGGAGGUACUUCUCCUGCAAUUCCUCUGCAGUGUACUCGUGGGGCCACCCUCUCUCCUCGAGAAAGGUUACCAUUUUCGAAUAUGGGGACGCCUCCUGCAGCUUCAGGCGCUGUGAAUCUUCCCAAAGGUUGAUCACAGUAUUGUAUUUGGUCAAGAGCAGAUCCGCUAGCUCGCUUUCACGAGGCAGGAAGUUUUCACAAGCAUCUAUCUUUCGUAAAAUCCUCUUUGUACGCUCGCGCUUGUACACCAUGCUAAUAAGGGUCCCCUUCCUGUGGUUUGCCACAGCUUCGGCUUCCAUGAGUAUCUCCUCAGAACUUUGCAUAAGGUUUCUUGUCUUGCUUUAUGACAUAGACACAUAGGCUACCCCAAGCCUUAUUCAAGGACACCUUGCAUUGUCUUCCCUCCCUGGAAGGCUUCCCUUAUUCUAUUUGUUGCCUUGUUCUUUGAUGCAUUCUCGUUCUGAAUGGCAAUAUGAGAAUUUCCUCGUCCUUCUGCCUUUCCUCCGCAAUCACUAUAGAAGUGCAUCGGACAUAAUAUCUAAGCCCUCACCCGACUUUCCAUUUCCUCCUUCUUUAUGUCCUUUCUUUUACUGGGACAGAGUGAUAAGAAUGAACCUUCUUAGUUGACUCGACGAAGGUCCUAAUGCUUUCCCACUAGUGCUAGUAUCGGUCAUACGCUUAAUCUUAAGAUUUCAGAAAAAGAAAUGAAAAUGAUAAGAUAAGCCAAACUCGGAAAUCAGAGUCCUCCUUCUUCUCUUUUCUUUGGUACUGGUGUGCCCCGUAAGGGCACGCUCGGCUCGGUCUCUUUCUGGAGUGGAGAGGGAAUACUUCCAGCAUCUAGCAUCAUCGAGUUUCUCUCUCUUUUACAAUCAAACUAGAUAAGGCCCUCGGCAAGUCCUAGCUCCCCCGAGGAAGUCAACCAAAUUCCAUAUUCUAACCCAGAAAAAUGGGACUCAAUGGGUAGCAAUUGUCCUUAACCCAGGAGUAUUAAGACCGGAGCGGUAUGAUUUGAAUCAGUACGAGAAGAAAGUCAAUGAACAAGGCUCAAAGUCGCAUAUUUCAUUGCGCCGGAGGACCACUUCGGUGUCCAAGCUUGCGGCACCGGUAUGCAGCCCUCUCACUUGCCUUAGUUUCUAGUUCAAAGAGAGUUCUACGCCCUCGCGUGCAGCCUUCUCGUCUUCAGCAUUGAAUAGAAAUAUUAAGGGUGCCUCAUGCGAUAGGCUGGAUUCAAUUUCGUUGCCAAAAGGCCUUGAACGAGGAAUCAUGGGAUAUGUCUGAUUUCGACCAGGAAAUAGAGAAAUCGGCCUUACCAUGAUAUUCAAGACCAUUUUUCUAGAGCUCAACCGGAACUAGAAGACGAAGAAGCCACGGUCCCCCACUGGGAUACUUCUUUGAUGUACCAAAAACCCUUGUUAAGGCCUCGCUCGAUUCGCACUUUCAACCCAACUCCCUCUUUUUUUUAUGAGUCCUAGCAGAGGACAGAUUCUGCGCUUGAUCUUUGCACGUCGACAGCUUAUCCCACCUCAUUUGGAGUUUGGCUCCUGGAUAGCUACUUGGUCUCGGUAAGACGGGAAGGUAUUUGUACGAAACCCUUGUCUGAAACAUAUGCAAACCUCUCUUUAUCUACCUUGCCCACUACGCGGUAAGGGAAAUUCAGAGAAGAAGACAAAGAGAUCUGAGUCACAACUGCUCAAGUAAUAUUGGUUCUCUUUUGCUUUCUCAAAAGGGCUCUCAUCCGUCUAUCCCCUGCGCUCUCUGACUCUGAUUUGGAAUACUCUUUCAAUAGGAUAAAAAGUCAUGAAAUUAGGUUCAAAGAAGAUUUGCGCUCUGGUGCGAAGCCCACCGCUACAGGAGGACCUCUUUCAUCCCUUGAAGUUCCCGAAUUACUUACGAGGUCAAAUCUCUUUUUCUUAGGGGUGGUUUCAGUGGGGGGAGAUCAAAAUCACUGUAUUUUCACGAAUCCGCGAUCCCUAGAUCCGAUCGAUCGAAGCACGGAUUCAAGCUCUCUAUAUAAAUCUAGAAUAUAGACGAUAAGACGAUUCGGUCCUUUUGACUCGUUCAUUCCAUAUUACGGCGAUUCCCCGCAUUACUAGAUUCAAGGCACCAAGGCUCAAAGAAUGAUCGAAGAAUGAACUCAUUAACGAGAAAAGUCAAAGAGAAGGUUUGAAUCUGAUACGAGAAUCACCUUGAUAAAGAGGUUUGAUUCUACGAAAGAUUACUGACUAUAAACAGGAGACCAAUCACAUUUGAGCUACUCUAUCCCGUAGAAAGAUCACUGAAAAGAACCUUGAAAGAGAGAAUCACCUUUUAGGUUUGAAUCUGAUACAAGGAAAGGGAAAGAUUACAGACUAUAAACAGAAUCUAAGGUUUCAUUCUCAAUUUCACUCUAUAACGAUAAAAGAGUCAAUCAAAUGGAAGAGAACUAAGAAGAAUAUAAGGUUUCAUUCUCAAUUUCACUCUAUAACUAGGGAAAGAGAAAAGAUAGGAUAAGAAAGAAAGAAAAUCCUCUGGAUUACCAGCUCCCCCCGUGAUGAUUGGUUCGAUCCUAAGCGAAAGGUUUACCGCUAGGCGAACUAGCAUCAGGCCGUAAGCCUUGGUAAGCUAAGGGGGAGCCUUCUAAAAAAAGAAUUAGAAGAUAGUUACCGAAAAAAGGAAAGUGAAGUAGAUUGAAUGACCUGAAAGACAGCUACCUGGUCUCACUUAACGAAGGGGAGGAAUGAAUGGAGUGAGGAGUAUGCACGGAUUUAUUGACCUACUAGCAGGACUGGCUGGCCCAACGUAAUAGAAUAGAAGUCCUUCUCCCUUCCAACCAGUACACAUUCCCUGACGGGAAUACAUGGUCUAAACCUAGGCUCUCAACCCUCGGCCCUCAACCCAAUACUCACUCUCCCGAUUGACUAAGACACCCCCCCUGGAGAAUAUGGUGUAGGUGGAAUAGGCGGACAUAGAAUACGGGCACAUACUCUGACCCCUCCUUGAAGUAGGAAUUCGACCAAGGCAAGGCUAUCCGGGAUGCUAAACCAUGUGUACUGCAGCCCCCAUCCAAGGACCAAUUUCUUAUUACGUUGGAAUGCAAAAAGAAAGAAGUCUGGGGCGGAUCCCCUUUUGACUUUUCGAGUUCGGUCUUAUUAGUAAGGCAAGCCAAUUCUUUCUAGUCCCUUGCCCAGCUGGCCGAGCUACCAUGCCUUCUCCUUGAGAGAUGGAGAUUGUUCCCACUCUGGUCUAAAAAAAAAAGACUACUAUAGAGUGAGUCUACAGAAAUCUCUUAUAAACUGUACUAGUGAUAUAUUUCAUUCAAGAGAGGAGGAUAGCAAGGCAUCCUUAGGACUCCUACCCGUUGAGAGACCUAUGUGAUCUUCUUGGGUCGCUUCACUCUGUCCUAUUGAGGGAAAAUCCUAUUAUCUUCUCUUUAGUACCAGUCCAGUCCGCUUUAGAAAGUCACCGAUGACUGAAAUCUAUCAAUACUGCACAAAGACUAAGAUUUUUCUUUCAUAAACCAAGAGCCAGAGCAGGUUUCCCAUCCCACUACCCGUGCUGCUACCUUCAACCGGCCAGAUCUACUGAAUCAACAGAGUCGACUAGAUCGAGAUCAUAAUCAGAGAAUUGACUCUGAAUCCCUAUCACGAUCACCAAAUUCAAGAUAAUUUCCAUGGUCCAACUUAGAUAAGAAGGACUAUUUCAUGAUGCCCAUCACCCUUUGGUGGCUGGCCCGUCGGUCCUAAUCUCCUUCCCACAUAUUAAGCUGCGAACAUUCUAAUGGCGCAAAGAGCGGAACCGAAAAUCUCUCAAUUCAUUCAGCCUUCUCCUUAAUAUUAGGAGCAGCAGCAAAAAGAAAGGUCUAGAUUUUCUGACUCAUCUGGACUUGAGAAAACCAAAAUCAUAGUAUGAAUCUUUGAAUAGACCUUCCGCGGUUUAAGACUCCUUUCCUUUAAGUUAGGCUCAAUGAAAUUUGAGUCAAGAUGCGCCAUAAGACAGGCGCAAAGAAUAUUGACGAAAAGAAAAUCAGAAUGAACUCAUUAACGAGAAUGAAAGAAGCUAAAAAUGAAUCUGCUAGAUUUCAGACGGAGUGAAUUCCUAGGUUUUGCCCAUAGGGAAGUAGCAAGAAAAGACAAAAAAUCAGUCAUUUUUAGACAAUUAUCGUCAAAUAUCAAGAUUAACAAAAGUCACAUUUAGAAGCAAAAAAGCCGGGAAAUUGCAAUUCAAGAAGAACUCCUAUCCCAGAAAUUCACAUAGUUUGAUUCUUGUUUGAGUUUAUGGUCCGGAGAAAGAGAGGUAUAUUCUUUAUUUCCCUCCACGAAGGACUAGUCUGAAAUCUAGCUCUUCAAUCUAGCAGAUUCAUAAUGAUUCUUUCAUUCUCGUUAUUCAAUCAGAAUUCUUCUUUCAUUCUCGUUAAUGAGUUCAUUCUUCUUUUCUUGACUUUUGUGCCAGUCCGAAGGACUAUCCAUCAGGGAGAAGCGAAGCGCAUUCAAAUUCUUUUCACCUCCAGAAGAAGGCUCAGAAGGGCCUCCGUAGUCCGCUCCCUUUCGUCCAAUGUCUGUGAUCAAGUAAUACCAGAUUGGUAUUCACGGGUCGAGUUGCCCUCUCUCUUGGUCUGCCCUGUGCUAGCCGAGGCAGGAAGCUAGUCAAGGCAUUUAUCCGCCAGCUUCAAGCGAAAGAAGAAGAUCGAAAUCUAGAAAGAAAGCGGAUUCGCCUUCGUUACUGAAGACCUUGUGAUUGGCUUUUGGACAGAACCGAUGCUCAUCAAUUAGCUAUGUUCGCAACAUCUUCUUUCUCACAGCCUGCUUACUGAGGAAAGCCUGGUUGGUCCUACUAUUUUUUCUAGGGAUCACUAACAAGAGAAAGAAGGCAUCUUGGCUGAAUUUGGGGAGUGAGGCAUGGGAAUACGCUCUUUCAUGCCCUAUCAAAAAAGAUCAAGAAAUUCAUAAACUAUAUUUUUCAAAUAGCUAUUCAAGCCUUUCCUCCUGAAUUUGUCUUUCAGGAUAGGGUCCUUCUUAUCUGCCCAGUACUCGCAACCUAGGACCGCUAGAAAAGCCCAAGGAAGCUAGGUGGCAAGCUUUUCUACGUGAAUCACUAGUAGAAAGAAGAUAGAUCCACACCAUAAAUUGAGUAGGAAGAGUCUUCUGCCACAUCUGAACUUGACUGAAAGCAGGAAGUAGACCAGCCGAGCCGUCUUCAGCCUUUCUGAGUAGGAAGUGAGCUUCAAUAUUCUUUUCACCUCUUGCUUUCUUCUUUGCUUGACUUCUAGACAUUAGCAAGAAAGAAGUUGAUCCUAUCAAUCUCGAUUCAAAAGCAACUACUUCCCUACAUCCAUCCAUCCCGGCUUUCAAGCAUUGAAGGAUUCCUGCCCUCUUGUACCGCUACGUGGGUGACUCAUUAUGUAAACAAGACCUUUUUUUUCUACUUUUUCAGGUGUCGAGCCUCAAAUUCUUUGACCAUCAGACGGCUCUUUCCGUAACUCCUCCCCCGAGAACUGAAUACCCAUUGACUUUGAGCUUUGUCUUUCUUCUGAGUGAGAAUAGUACUUAUUCUUUACAGAGAAUUCUAACUCUUCCGAAAGAGCACCUAUGAAACUUAGCCCGAUUCCUAUUGCUUCUGAGAAUCGUACUGAUCCUACUUCUUCCCUUGGAAACUGGGACUGAUUGAAUACCGCCUCAAUUCCCCAUUACGCGCUUUUGGCCCUAGGCGAGAUGGAAGAAUGAUCUGUCUUUUUAGUCUCUUUGACUAAAGCUCUCCCAAAUAGGACGAAAGGUGGUAACAACCUUGUCUCGACGACGGAACCUUGUCUCGUGGAAGUUGAUGACUGAAAUCGGCAGCUCGACCUGAUUGGGCCUAAACUAAAGAAGGAGAUCUUUCGUAAGCGAGAUCGGCAGAUGCCCACGUAGCGCUUUCAUGGGCCCCCGAGCGGUAGGACGAACUCCUAAUUCUCUCUUGAUCAAGGGAAGAUGAAGAAUGCAGACGACUCGCCCGCUUAUUUCAAUACAAGUAGGACGAGACUACCCCUCCUGUCUCCACUAAAAAGUCCGGCUACUCUCAUGUAGAGUGGAAAGGCAGGGAGCGGGCAUCCGACCUCGUCUAUAUAUAGAUGAUCGGUGAUCAGCUUCACACACCUCUGAAUAAGGAAGGACACCUUUGACAGUAUCGUCCGACCCGGGAAUGAUCCGGUACAUUAAGAAAAUAUAAGGAGUGCUCCCAGAGAGUGAGCCCUUGACUCUCCUUGAUUCCCUUUAUACUGGACGGUGACCUAUCCCACCUCGCAGGGCACUACAGGCUCUAUUUGGCAUUGAGAAGAGUGAAAGAGAUAGAUUAAGCUGAAACUACCGCUACGUGGGACGAGAACUCUUUGAAUAAGUAAUUCUGAGUUAGGAUAUUCCAGAUAUAUAUGCAAAAAUGGAGUGGAGAUCACUGGGACCUCUUCGGAUCCCUACAUACUUCUUCUAGCUUUGGUUUCAGGGACGGAUUCCUUUACUGGGGAGCUAGCCUAUAAAACUGAACCCUCUCCUCUGAUCGAAGAGUUGCGUGGAUGGAUCGCUGUGAUAAGACUGAAAAUCACCGUAAAAAAGAGACUAAAAGGACAUAUGUAAAUUCAGAAAUCCGCCCUUUCAGAUCUCACCAUGGAUGAAACCCUCCUUUGCAAGACACUCAGGAAAGAAAAAAGUCUAAUUCGUCCGAGGCCUAGCCGAAAUCAAAGACAAGAAUCAGUUAAUAUGGAUAAAGAAGAUUGAGUUCCCUCAAAUUCUUUGAGCCUUCGUCUGUAGCUUUAAGCAACCUACGGCAAGGCGCGAAGCGAAGAAGGAAGACAAAGAAAAGACAACUCAAGAGGCGCAAAGAGCGAGGAGCAAAGAAUAUUUUCGUAGCCAAAAGGGCAGAGCUUGGGGAUAACUGACUCGAUCAGCAUUUUUCCGUAUUUUUGAGGGAAAGAUAGGGAAACUUCCACAUCACAUCUUUAUCCCUUGAUCAAUUCCUCCAUCCCAAGCUCUUAAGCUAUAGUACUUUCUGACCUAUUAAGAAUUUGGAAGUCGAUUCAAAGAUUCAAAGCAAAGGUUCGCUCCUGCUGAAAAAGCUUAGUAAGCCGGGCUUCGAAAAAGAGCUCUCGAAUCGGACUAAAAGGAAAAGGUAUCCUAUCCCCUAGGUGGCAGAGCAGCCUAUUCUAUACUCUCUACCAGCUGAUGAAAGAAGAUCCUAGUCUUGAACAUCAUACUCUUUUCUUUGAGAGCAGAGCUCACUUCACUUUGCCCAUCAGAUCCUUGAGCUAGUAGCUAGUUAGGGCUGAUAUUACAAUCAAGGAAUGAGAGAGUUUCAUAGGUGACUAGUGUAGAGAGAGGUUAUGAAAGAGACCGACUACGCGGUUAAGGCUGUGAGAUGGAUAGCCUUGCCCCGAGAGAGGCCAUAGGAUAGAGUCGAACCGACGAUGCUCUUCCAGCUAAGUUGUCUGGCCUGAGUCCGUUCACUGAGCUCUGAGCUUUGCUCCUGGUCGUCAAUAUUCUUUGUGUGCUGUCUACUCUUUUUUGGAAGAAAGUUUCAGCCUACUAAGAAUCAAGAAAGCGCAACUUCGAUUUUGAUGCCAACAACAUGAAACUUAAGGAUGAAAUGAAGAAAUGCAAAAAUAUCCAUCACUCUCCCGCUCUGAAUUUGCAAAGAUGCGGUUUCUGACUCCCCCACGGUGCGGUAGAAAAAUCUUGAAGCCUUGCACUCAUCAACGCAAUAUUCUUUGCGCCUUAUCUUACUUUCAGUCGAGCCGUCCUACGCAGCUUAAUAUGUGAGCGGGAGUGGGAACCUACUAUUUGGAAGAAGCCUAGGGGAUCAAAAUCAAGAGAGAAAGCCUAGAGGCGCGAAGCUACUUACAAGGCUAGGCGUAAUUGAGGAGACUGAGUUUACGAACGAGAUAAGGGUCAAAGAAUUUGAGAGGCGAGAGCAGCUCUUUCUUCUUUCUGUUUAAGCUGGAGACUUUCUUAUGUUCCCACGGAGCGGGUAGGGAAUUGCUCUUAGCCCAGGCCGUCGGCCUUCUUUCUGAAUUGACUGGUCCAUACAUUAAGAUACUCCUUUGCGAAAGGAAAGCUACUCUAACUAAAGAGAAGGAAUGAGACUAGCCGCACUAUAUCACUAUUCAGACGAGAGAAGAGGAGAAGAAAGGGCUAUGCCUUUCUCAUCCAUGAAUUAAUCACCGAAACCCCUUGCACUCCUCUUCCUUAUAAUCGCUAGGUCAAUAUUCUUUGAACCUUGUAAAGGAAGGAAGGAGGGUCAAGGUUAUCAGCGAGAAAGAAAUUCAGGGAGCAUCACGCCGAACUCCGUUUUCUUUCAUCUCUUGGCGCGAACGAGAUCAGAAUCGGCAGCUCGCCCAUAAGUCCAGUCCGCUGACAGGUCAAAAUAAUCGUAAGCCCCCCUGAAUUAGUUCUUUCCGCGGUUGCUCUUGUUUCGGCAGUCGCUGUGGAAAAAGAAGUGGCUGUCGCAGUAGUCGUUCCCGUUGAUCGGGCAGAUCGCUAGAGCGUAAGGCCUCAUUCAAGGAUGAAUUAUGUACUAAAACAUGUCCACGUUUUUGACUCUUCUUCUUUCACCUUCAAACUUGAAUAAAGACUUCAAACUUCCCGGAUGAUUUCCCUGGAAGGAUUUCUUCGAUUCGUCUGUAAAGUGAAAGUAGUGAGGAAACCGCUCAGAGGCACUCGCUCGACCGAAGGAAGACAAGGCAGAAAGUCCCCACCAGCAGCAUUGGAUCUCGAAGGAUCACAGGUAAAGGAUCGACGAGACUCAAAUUCUUUUCCUUGUCAAUAUUCAAAUAGUGGUCCUUUUUCUUUAUCAAGCUUAAUCUGUGGAAUAUUAGUGGAUAAACAAGGGUUCAAAAAAUCAAGGUCCAGAUGACAGGCUCAAUGAAAUUUGAGUUUCUGACUCCUUCUCAAAUUCUUUGAUCCUCAGUCCUAUCCAUAUUAACCCGGGAUUUCUCAAUCUUCUGAUCGCCAUUCUCUUCUUUCUUCUUUGCACCUCUCCUUUGAAUGCGCUUCGCUUCUCAAGAAUAUCCCUUAUGGCACCUGUGAAAAGUCAAGAAAAGAAAAGAAUAAUUCACUCAUUAACGAGAAUGAAAGAAUAAUUAGGAUUGAAUCACCUUGUUUUUACGGAGGGAAAUGCUAGGUUUUGCCCAUAGGGAAGUAGCAAGAAAUCAUGAAAAAUCAGUCAUUUUUCGACAAUUUUCGUUAAAUAGAAAUCUUUGAUUUAGUCCUAUUUAGAAGCAAAAAAGCCGGGAAAUAGCAAGGCAUUGUCCUAUUUGAUUUUCGAAAUUCACAUUGAUCAGUUCUAGUUUGAGUUUAUGGUCCGGAGAAAGAGAGGUCUAUUCUUUAUUUCCCUCCGUAAAAACAAGGCUCAAAGAAUGAUCGGAUUCUUUCAUUCCCAUUUUGAGCUUCUUUAAUUCGAGUUAAUGAGCUUCUUUUCUUUUCGUCAAUAUUAUAUUCAUUGAUUUGGAGAUUGAAGACGGAGUUCAUUCCUAGAAAAUGCUAGGGCGAGACAGGUCCUCCGGACUAUCCAUAUUAACCUGUGACGCCUUCGGACCUGUCUCGCAAUAUCCUUUGCGCCUGGACGUUUUUGGGACUUGUUUAUAUCCAUAUUAGCUUGGAGCCUCCUACGCAGCAAUGAGAAAUUUGACGGAUGAAAGCCUAUGUUGAGGACUCGGAAUGAGUUCCAGAAAGAGGGUCUAAAAGGAGAGGUUCAAAGAAUAUUGACUUGGACAGGAGCUAAGUUCUUCGGACCACAGGCUCAAAGAAUUAUCGAAGGAAUCUGGACCCUUGUUGCGGAAAUUAAGCUGCUCCUCCUCCUCAACGUUCUAAUGGAUAGGACUGAGGCGCAUCAAAAAAAAGGUUGAAGAUGACCUUGAUUUUUUCCUAACUUAUUUCUUAUAAAGAGAAGGCGAGUUAUUUCAUCCCUCUCUUCUCUCCCUGCCCCCUAGAACCGAUCCUAUCUAUCAUUUAAAGCCCUUUUCGACCUUUGCUUUCAUUCGAAUCACAUUCAGGUAUUUGACUCUGAUCCGGAAUCCCCCAAUCAAGAAGGAAGAUGGGACAUGUAAAGGAUAAAGAGUUUCAAGCAAGGCGCCGACGAAUGAAUAAUGAAUAAGGAAGAGCGAUCCGACGAAGCUACUUCUGCAACAAGGAACUACUACAACUGCCACAGCCCCUUACCGCCCGCUACGUGGGCUUAGAGCUAUUUCUUCCUCAACUUCAUUCCCCCAAGCAAUAGGCCUCUUCCGGGUGGCUUUCUUAUCCUAGGAAAGUGAUUUGACUGAUUCUCAUUUGAUUUGAGGGGAAAAUGCAAUCUUUACAAGUGCGUAUGAACUUCCAGUCUCGCAGCUUGGUCGAAAAGCUUGGGCUAGCGGCUGAUUCAACUGCUAAAGCUACAGCUUCAAGAUCGAAUUCCCUGAAAAAUCUCUCUCUCAUCCCUUUCCGCGCACUAAGAAGGUUCGUAAACUCUUUUUUGAAGACUCUCCUUUCUUUUUGCUUCGCACCUUCUAAGUCAGAUCAAUUCCAUCUCACCGCUACGUGGGCCUCUCGUGAAAGAUCCUAUUCUCUGGUCGUAUUCGCACCUUUCUCAGGGGAUCAUACCCUUUUUAGAGAAAGAGAGAAUGUUUCUGUCUGCUGAAACUAGGGUUAGCUGUGUCUAACCUUCCCCUUAAGAAGAGAUAUGAUAAGACCUCGUUCACUCAGCUUCAACACUCAAAAUCCGAACCCUAGAAAAGAAAGCCGCAUCCCCUUUGUGCUGUCCCACUCCUCUCCAGCUUCCUCUUACUAAAUCAAAGUCAAGCCCCUUCGCUCCUAUCCUAUGAUUCUGAGUUCAGUUGCUCUGAUGAAGGAUCGUCUUCCUAUUUCUAAUCCGGAACAGAAAGAGCUUCAACGGCGGCCAAGAAUCAGCUCAUUUUGGACUCUUCAGAUCCCUAUCUAUCCGGAGAGGAGCUUCGCUCAACACCCUUCUUUUGUUUUGCUUCUUAGUGAUAGCUUCUACCCUCGGAGAUGGAGCUCCUUCUUGUUCUCGAUCUGAUUCCUAUCGCUACUUCAUACCUAACUGGCACCUAUGAAACUGGGACGGAUUCCUUUGCUCUCGUUCGCUGACUCUGACUUUGGUCGAGCUAUCACUACUGCUGGCGUCAAUAUUCUUUGAACCUCUUCCUUCGGAAAAGGUCAAUAUUCUUUGAACCUCUCUAUCUCCUUAAAUAUUGAACUUAAGAACCUCAAAAGAAAGCGGAAAUCUUCUCCUCGCAAUAUUCUUUGCGCCUAGCCUUCGAUCUGACGCUUUUGCUAGUCCCUGGUCGAGUCUUUCCUCUUUCUUCAACAUAGGAGUGCAGUCUGAUUUCUGAUUCUUUAGGUAGCAAUUCUUCUUUCUUAUUCUGAAAGGCCCGGAGGUUGAAAAAAGCUCUUUCUUUGUUCUUAUCCUCUUAGAAUAUAUUAUUCAAUUCAAUUGGUCUUACAAGGAGCAGAAGUUUUUGUCAAUUCGUACGUAGAAAUUUCAUGUGUGAAGCUCUAGGUCGAUCCGGAGCUACGAAAGCUUUCUUCUCCCAGUUCUUUCUAGGUCAAGAAAAAUGAAUGGGAGGCGAAGGGGAGAGCUUCCGAGUUCAGUCCCACAGGUAUCGGCUUCCUAUUUUAGUUCUUGUUAUGAAAAGUAGAAAGCCUUCGAUCCUAAGUUAUUGCUUUUUUCGACAUGGUCGAGACCCCGAGAAAGUCUCGAAGCCUAUCAUAGCACCGAUCCAACUCCUCGCAAUAUUCUUUGCGCCUUCCUUAAGUCUGAAUCAAUCAAUAAUCAAUGAAUGAGGCUUUCCCGUAAAGCACUCAGUGCUCAUACGACCAAGAAAAGAUAAGAAAGAGGGAGAGAGGCUCCAUAAGACAGGGAUAUUGUAAGCCGAUCUUGCUGUUUUGACCUGAAUUACGGAGUGAAAUCAGCCGAUCUUGCACAAGACAGAAGAAGAGCUUCUUCCCCGACAAAAACGAGUACCGGGAAGAGGGUCAAAGAAUUUGAGGAAGAGCUUUUUCCUUUGGACUAGAUUGCGAGAACGUUCUAUAACCACUAACCACUGAAAGGUGGCUUCUUCGCAAAUUCUUUGCACCUAGGUUCUCACGCAUAUUUCAUUGCGCCUCAUACUGACUUCCACACUUACCUCUUUCUUUCCCUUCCUCAAACCUAAAACACAAAGUAUACCUUUCUUCUUCGCAAUAUUCUUUGCGCCUGACUUACCUCUUCUUUCCUGACUUACCUGUACUGUAGGGCUUCGCCCCCUUAUACUUCCUGUACUUCCUUAUCUUUUUCUUCCUGACUUACCUGUACUUUAGGGGCCCCUUUAAACUUGUUCUUUCUUUCCUGUUGUUGCUCUUGGGCUUCGCCUUCAUACUUUUGGUUACGGUGGCUUCUUCGCAAAUUCUUUGCACCCUCCGUUAGGAGUAUUAAGACGGACCCUUCCUUCCAUAUGGAUGGUCCUACUUCGGUUAAUUACGGAUGGUCCUACGGAUAAAUCCUCCGGACUACUUCCUUCCAUAUGGAUGGUCCUACGGAUAAAUCACCUGGACCUUUCUUUGGCCCUGCGGACGUAGGACGUAGGACUACUUCGGUUAAUUACGGAUGGUCCUACGGAUAAAUCACCUGGACCUUUCUUUGGCCCUGCGGACUGCGGACUCCGGACCCUGGACCUUUCUUUGGCACGUAGGACAGGUGAAUACUAUUAUUUUCACGGAGGCUCAAAGAAUGAUCGAGGGAUAGCUCUGAUUUUCACGGAGGGAGGCGAGACUGAAUCAAUGAACAAAGGUGAUACUUAUCUCUUUCUUUUGUCUCAAGCUUUUAUACCAUUGACGUGAAGGAUUUGCCUUCAUGAAAACGAAGAAGAAAAGGAGCGGAUCGCGCACGCCCACUCCGCGGUAAAGGCCUAAUGUCAGAGGGAGGCGCAAACUAAGCCGCUGCUCGAGCCACAGGAGAGUAAUACGGGGAUCGACUUCCACCUAGUUGGAGGGAGGAGCCAUAGCUCUUGCUUUUUCAGCAGUCCUUCCUGUGUAGGAUGAAAGAUCCCUUGUUCGGUAAGCGCGUCAUCGACCAGCUUAUAGCGAGCCUAAUCACCCCAUUGUAGGGUAGAAAGAAGGGCGAUUUAUCUCAAUCCAAGUGAAAAGAGAAGCAAGGCCGACGGCCAACGAACUCCUACUAUCUAUUCCACACUACCAGCAAGGUGAAAAGAAGAUUGAAUCCGUCUUCCGCUCCGUUGACCCUAGCGAUCAUGAGAAUUCCCAGGUUUUCAUCCAUUCACAAAAAGACCCAAUCCCAGUCGUGGAAGAGAAGUCAGAAAUGGGACAGAUCUUUUGGCACUCUCCGAGGAGUUAGGCUUAAUUCAAAGGAUGAACCAUAUCUUUCUACGCAAACUAAUAGUUCUAUAUCGGAAACAAGGUCUGAUGACAUGGAAGAUCGUCGCUUUAGCCCGGCUUAGGUCGCAUUCCUAUCUGACUUAGUUGCUCUCAUACCAUAGACUCGGAAAGAGAUAAUGACUCUGGGGUAGAUGAAAUUUCUUCGUGCCGGGUUUAUGUAAGAAAUCGCCUAGUGCUUGAAUUGCACUGACUGUAUUUUCAUCUAUAUUGCAAAUAGAAGAAAGAGCACUUAAUAGGGAAUACGAAGAAAGAACUGAGCCGGGACUGAUUACGAUCGGUCUCAAACCUCUAUCUUGUAUUAUCCCUUUCAGAGACUUCAGUGAGGGAAGACCUCUCACUCCCCCAACCCUGGCUGACGAACCUAUCCAGAUCCAUUGGGAAGAAGAUCCCAUGACGGAGGUGACUUCUAGCUUCGUACCGAAGCCAAUUCCUUACCGCUCCGUGGGUUCAGAUGAAUGAGACGGUCUUCCUAGCGCCGUCCUAUCUUUGAUCAUACAAUGAAAUACCGCGUAGUGGGACCUGCCUUUUUCUUUUCGAAAUAAAUAAGAAGGAGGCUGGAUUCAAUUUCGAAUGCCCUUACUUUACUAUUCAAAACUAUACUCUACGCGCGAGAUGAUGUAAGACAAGAAGAAGAUCAGAAGAGCUUUCAAUUAUUCUAACGAAGAGCUUUUAGAGAAAGGUGCGUAGCAAGGCUCUCAGAAAUUGAGCAGAAGCGAGACCAUUGUCAAGUUUUCAUAGUCUUUUAUCAAAAUCGAAAGAUAUAAGUAGUAAUUCACAAUAUUCAAUAAGUUAUAAAGCUCUGCGAAUGCGCAAAUAAUCAGAUAUUCACUGGUGCAAUGUCUUAUUCCCGCUCCCUGGGAGGUAUACUCUAGAAGUCUUUAUAUAUUGAUUAUGAACCGCUCCGCUCAUAAUCCGAGAUUCACUUCUCAGAAGUAGUUCACAAUAAAUUCUCAAGCUCUUUCCUAAUUAAUCUUCCCGCUCCGCUCAUAAUCCGAUAUUCAGACGAAUCUCAUAAUAGUGGUUGAUCUUUGUUUAUUUGCUUUAUCAAGCUCUUAUUCUUCUCUGCGUCUUUCUGAAACUUUCUUCUGCAGAUAUGAAAAAUCAAGCUCCAGAUGAGUUUCAUUCUAGCUAGAACUCGUUCUCUCCGCGAAUAAUCAUCUAUUCACAAGAAAUAAAUAGUAAUCUCUUCUCUCCUUUGUAAACCUACUAUUUGGAAGAAAGCCUAUCCUUCUACACCGCGUAGUGGGUCGAGCUGCUUCGCACCGCUCCGUGGGCUACUUCUCUCCACUUCUGAAACUGAAAGUCAAUGAACAAGGCUCAAAGAAUGAUCGAGGAGUCUUAAUUGAAUCAUAUUGCUCCAAAAACAAAGGUCCAGAUGAGUCAGAAAGAUUUCCUUAAGUCCUUCGGACGCUUUCCUCUCGUCGAUCGGGCUUUGGUCGUACGUAUGAUAGUAAUUCAUUGAAUGAAUCUAUUUCCCUUGGUUGGGCAGCACUAGAGAUGCAAGGUCAGCACCAACUUCCACUUCUGCAGCAUCAAGGGAGAAAGAAACUGCCCGUGGCUCUCGAAGCUAGGCUUUCAUCCGCCAAAUUUCUCAUUGAUCUGGUGGUCGAAGAGCGAGCUUCAAGGGCAGAGAGAGUAGCUCAAUAAAAGACAAGAAGAAGGAAAAAUAAUGGAUUUCUAGUCCUUCGCCUAAGAAUAAGGUUCAAAGAAUAUUGAACUCAUGAAUAUGGAUCAAAAUCAGUCCCACUAUUUCAAGUGGAAUUAAUGGCGCGACAGGCGCAUAUUGCGAUGAAUCAUCUUUUUUUCUUUCGAGGACUACGAAUUUUGACAGUCCGAAGGUGCAAAGAAUAUUGCGUGAGAUUUUGGAUAGCUCUGACUUUGAAAAGACAAAGAAGGACUUCGGACCAAAAAAUAGGCGAAGCGAAUACUCGUGCAAGUGCUGGAGCGGAAUCCUGUUCAUGGAUUUUGAGUGGAUUCGGAACUAUAAAUGGUCGGCGAAUAUAUAGGAUGAAAGUACAGUGAUGUCCGUCCUUGUUAGCACGUCCGGUCUUCGACACACUAUCGAUUUUCUUGACUUUCUUCCUUUCCUUAGCCUGCUUAGGGCUGCCCCACGUAGCCGUAGCGGUGGGGAUCUAUUACUUUCAAGUCUAGUUGCUCCCUUAUAGAUAAGGGUUGUAAGCAUUCCAGUCUCCCUUGUUCGGAAAGAUGUUCACUCCUCAAAUUCUUUGAGCCUCUUGUUAUACGCGAAGAAAGCUCUUUUCCAGACACUCACUUAACAAGGCAAGGAUGAAUAGUGAUAUGUAGUGAUCCUAAAGCCUGGCUUUGAGCCUUCCUUGCUUUCCAUGAGGGCUGGAAGCGUGGCACCUCACACCUUUGUACACGUAAGAACUACUCAUCUGCACCAUCAAAGAAAGGUCCAGGGUCCGGAGUCCGCAGGAUUUAUCCGGAGUCCGGAGGAUUUAUCCGUAGGACCAUCCGUAAUUAACCGAAGUAGUCCUACGUCCGCAGGAUUCUUAUCCGUAGGACUAUCCAUAUGGAAGUAGGACCAUCCGUAAUUAACCGAAGUAGGACUAUCCAUAUUCAGGAGCGGAAUCAAGAAUAGACCCGUCAGUAUCCGGACCAGAAACCAUAAGAAAACUCUGUUCAUUGAUUUUCCCUAGAUUUUUCUAAUGGACCAGUUGCAAUUUCCCGGCUUUUUUGCUUCUAAAUAGGACUUUUUCGACUUUUCUUAUCUAACGAUAAAAGUACUUUUUUGACUGAUUUUUUGUCUUUUCUUGCUACUUCCCUAUGGGCAAAACCUAGCAUUUCCCUCCGCGGAUUCAUCUGAAAUCUAGCAGAUUCAUCUUCAAUCUAGCACAAAUCAAUGAAUAUUGACAAUGAACAAGGCUCAAAGAAUUUGAGUCUGCUUUCAUUCCCAUUUUGAGCUUCUUUCAUUAUCGUUAAUGAGUUCAUUCUUCUUUUCUUUUCUUUUUUCUUUGAUUGACUUUUCACAGUCCGGAGGACAGGUCCGAAGGCGCAAAGAAUAUUGCGAGGAGUUGACUAUCCAUAUUCAUGAAAAAGGACGGGUGAGGCUCAAAGAAUUUGAGUCUUUAUUCGCCUAUGAAGUAAUUCUUCCACGAAUCAACUCAAUCGAGACGAGGGACAUAGGCUCCCAGUACGAAGGGACUGAAGCGAACCCCACCGGUGCCCGCCCUUGAUCUAUUUUAGAGGCAUAUUCAGUCCUGAAUGAGUAAAUGAGUGAAUCUGGGCACGCACAUCUUGGAACCUUCUCUUUUCAUUAAGAAAGAAAGAAUCCCAGGUUCAAAGAAUCCAGGGCUAAGAGGACUAGGGUGCGAACCCCAUCCACCGAUUCCUUCUUUCAUAAGUCAGAGUCUGAAAGCAUAAGUCGACAUCAAUAUAGGUCCUAAGCUAGCAUAGGACGGACGGGGCGGAGUUGGAAGCUCUCACGGAGGGGCGAAGCGACUGGGAAGGUGGGUUAGCAAGGCUGGAUUCAAUUGAGUGGGUGGAAGCGAGACCUGUCCUCCGACCUCUUUUAUCCACUAAUAUUUGACUCCGGACUUGUUAAUGGAACUAAUAUGUUCGGGAGGACCUCUUUUAUCCGUCCUCUUUAGAGUCCUUCGGACGUCCUCAGUCCUAUUCAACCCAUUCCAUUGAAUUUCUGGAAAUAAGGGUCAAGAUGCGCCAUAAGACAGGUCCGAAGGACUAUCCAUUAGGGGAUUUGAUGACGAACGUUAGGAUCAAUGAAAUGAAUUUGAUGAGAAAGAAUAUUGCGAGAAGUCAUGAUCCCUUUCAUGCAGCUGCUUAAAAAAGAGCUUUUUGCGAAGUCAUGAUCCCAAAGCAAAGGCCUUAAAUAGGGCAAUAUUCUUUGCGCCUUGCACUCCUUUCUUCUUUUCUUAGAUAAAUGCGCUUCGCUUCUUCUCAAAUUCUUUGAGCCUUAGUUAAGCGCAAAGAAUAUUGCGUCAUGAUCCCUUUCAUGCAGCUGCUUAAAAAAGAGCUUUUCAUUUGCGAAAAAGUAUUAUGGAAAUAAUAUCCGGACUGAUUUUUUAUGGAACUGAUUUUCAAAGAUUCCACUAAAACUGAACCGCAAUAUUCUUUGCACCUAGGCUUUCUCCCAACAAAUCUUCGUUCUUAGUUAUUUGAACCUUCAAUCUUUUCAAAAAGCUUAUUGAUUGAUUCAGGGCUUAGCCCUCCUUCUUAGAACCCAUUGAGGGGAGGCCCGGGAAGGGGAGAGUGGCCGAGCGGUCAAAAGCGACAGACUGUAAAUCUGUUGAAGUUUUUCUACGUAGGUUCGAAUCCUGCCUCUCCCACGGAGCUUCUUUGUUGUAGACUGAAGAGAAGAGAAAGGAAAGGAGGCAUUCGUCGUCAGCGUAGGAAGAAGGCCGACCGAGCCAAUAUGUGCUUUCUUUUUUUUUGCCGUGCCGUGAAGUUCAAUUGUAUCGUAUUUCAGUUUAGAGAGGUUGCCGAAUUACUACGAUCUAUAGAUUCCCAUCGAUAGACAAUCCCAACCAGAAUAGAAGCGAGUCGCUUCCGCUUUGGCUUGUAGUCCUUGUCUUUUAGCUUAUGUAGUGGUCGGCCUUCCGACACGCGCGCGCCCGCCAGAAUGCCCCCUUGCUUCUGCACGAAGCCCAAGCCAAUACAUAGGAUAGGCGAAGGAAAGACCCCCCAUUUCAUAGCGCCUGGGGAAGGCAAGUUUUCUCGAGGAUUGGAGGCGCGACAGGCUCAAUUCAGAAAUGGAUAGUCCGGAGGUUCAAAGAAUAUUGACUAGACUUCCAGUCCGGAGGCGCAAUUCAAUAUGCGAAUGAGUGCAAGCGAAAACUAAUAGAUUUCAUAGUCAAGAGGACGGAUACCGCACCUCGCAAUAUUUUCAGUGGAAUAAGACUGAUCUGGAGCCUUUGUUUUUGACUCCUUGCUAUUUAAUGGAUAAACAAGUCCUCCGGACGGGUCCAGCAAAAACAAAGCGGAAAACGCAAGUCAAAUUCUCUAAUGGAUAGGCCUUGCACUCCUUAAUAGAAAGCCGAGCAUUUGCACGCAAUAUUCUUUGCACCUUGUUUUUGUUCUUCGGGCCUUCGUAGCUUAACUUAAUAUGGGGAUCUGAUCUUUGCUCCUAACUACGGGGUCCGACCGCCCCGUGGGAAUAAGAUGAAAGUAGCGGAGUAGUUUGAAAGAAAGGAUAUAAGUUUCAGUGGAAUAAAGGGAGAUAGGCUUGAAUCUUUUUAGUAGGAAAAUCAAGGUCCAGGUGACGGAAGAAAAAGUCAAAAGUCUAUCCCUGUCAUUGAACAGAUUCAUUGAGGACUUUCAUCUUCUAUAUUAUGAGGCUUACUAGUAAUGCUGAAGUUCCUCCUACGGGAAUCAAAAGUGAAAGGAAGGAAUAAGGACUCAAAUUCUUUGAGCCUCCGGAGCCUUCAUCAUUUCAUUUUGAUGCCUUCUACGGCGUUCAAGUCAAAGAGUAUUCAAGAUCAGAGUUUCAGAGCUUUAUCAAAACUUAUCUUUAUCUUGUCUUUGAAGAAAGCAAUAAAAAAAGUUAAGACGAGCUAUAUACUCCGAAGGACGUCGUCUGGACCCAGCCGUAGGCUUCUUAAAAUAGUGAGGAGUCCGGAGUCCGCAGGAUUUAUCCUACGUCCUACGUCCGGAGUCCGCAGGAUUUAUCCGGAGGACUAUCCAUAU
rnacentral:lncRNA from 1 species